GCCGGUGUGGCGGAAUGGAAGACGCGGCAGAUUCAAAAUCUGUUGUCAGCAAUGGCGUGUAGGUUCAAAUCCUAUUGCCGGUACUA
rnacentral:tRNA from 1 species